ensembl:snRNA U6 U6 spliceosomal RNA
GUGCUUGUUCUAACAGUGUAUAUAUUACAAUGGAAAUGAUACAGACAUCAGCAUGGUCUCUGUACUAGAAUAAAAAGUGGAUUCAUGAAGUGUUCCAGAUUCUG